rnacentral:tRNA from 1 species
CCUUUCUAAGGAAACCAAUAAAAUCAAUCAUCUUCAGUUUUGAAAGACUUAGGCAACUAAGUUUUUCUUCGUGACUUCACGAAGGGCCUAUAGCUCAGUUGGUUAGAGCACACGCCUGAUAAGCGUGAGGUCGGUGGUUCAAGUCCAUUUAGGCCCACC